GCGUCCAGGGUUAGUUGGCUUCUUGUAGGGUGGUGUUGGGUGUACCCCAGGCCCUCGCACCCACAGGUUGAUUCUCGAGGUAUCUGUCAUUGCCGUGUGUUUUCCAGAAGGCCUGCUGCCCAUCUUAGAUUCUGCCUAAGAGACUUUUGCAGCUCAACAAAGGGGGUGUGGUGGAGGUUUUGACAGAUAACUUGCAGUGGGGCCUUUUGUGGGGGUGGAGAUGCCUUGGGCGUGGCUGUGUGCUCUUCCCUCUGCGGGAUCACCCGCUUUCCUCCCUAUGUGCUGGAACCCACUUCCCUUG
rnacentral:lncRNA from 1 species